rnacentral:rRNA from 1 species
CACAUGCAAGUCGAACGGUGAAGCAGGAGCUUGCUCUUGUGGAUCAGUGGCGAACGGGUGAGUAACACGUGAGCAACCUGCCCCUGACUCUGGGAUAAGCGCUGGAAACGGCGUCUAAUACUGGAUAUGUGACGUGACCGCAUGGUCUGCGUUUGGAAAGAUUUUUCGGUUGGGGAUGGGCUCGCGGCCUAUCAGCUUGUUGGUGAGGUAAUGGCUCACCAAGGCGUCGACGGGUAGCCGGCCUGAGAGGGUGACCGGCCACACUGGGACUGAGACACGGCCCAGACUCCUACGGGAGGCAGCAGUGGGGAAUAUUGCACAAUGGGCGAAAGCCUGAUGCAGCAACGCCGCGUGAGGGAUGACGGCCUUCGGGUUGUAAACCUCUUUUAGCAGGGAAGAAGCGAAAGUGACGGUACCUGCAGAAAAAGCGCCGGCUAACUACGUGCCAGCAGCCGCGGUAAUACGUAGGGCGCAAGCGUUAUCCGGAAUUAUUGGGCGUAAAGAGCUCGUAGGCGGUUUGUCGCGUCUGCUGUGAAAUCCCGAGGCUCAACCUCGGGCCUGCAGUGG